AGUGAACGCUGGCGGUAGGCCUAACACAUGCAAGUCGAACGGCAGCACAGUAAGAGCUUGCUCUUACGGGUGGCGAGUGGCGGACGGGUGAGGAAUACAUCGGAAUCUACUUUUUCGUGGGGGAUAACGUAGGGAAGCUUACGCUAAUACCGCAUACGACCUACGGGUGAAAGCAGGGGAUCUUCGGACCUUGCGCGAUUGAAUGAGCCGAUGUCGGAUUAGCUAGUUGGCGGGGUAAAGGCCCACCAAGGCGACGAUCCGUAGCUGGUCUGAGAGGAUGAUCAGCCACACUGGAACUGAGACACGGUCCAGACUCCUACGGGAGGCAGCAGUGGGGAAUAUUGGACAAUGGGCGAAAGCCUGAUCCAGCCAUACCGCGUGAGUGAAGAAGGCCUUCGGGUUGUAAAGCCCUUUUGUUGGGAAAGAAAAGCAGCAGGUUAAUACCCCGCUGUUCUGACGGUACCCAAAGAAUAAGCACCGGCUAACUUCGUG
rnacentral:rRNA from 1 species